GACGAACGCUGGCGGCGUGCCUAAUACAUGCAAGUCGAACGCUGAAGGAGGAGCUUGCUCUUCUGGAUGAGUUGCGAACGGGUGAGUAACGCGUAGGUAACCUGCCUGGUAGCGGGGGAUAACUAUUGGAAACGAUAGCUAAUACCGCAUAACAGUAGAUGUUGCAUGACAUUUGCUUAAAAGGUGCAAUUGCACCACUACCAGAUGGACCUGCGUUGUAUUAGCUAGUUGGUGGGGUAACGGCUCACCAAGGCGACGAUACAUAGCCGACCUGAGAGGGUGAUCGGCCACACUGGGACUGAGACACGGCCCAGACUCCUACGGGAGGCAGCAGUAGGGAAUCUUCGGCAAUGGACGGAAGUCUGACCGAGCAACGCCGCGUGAGUGAAGAAGGUUUUCGGAUCGUAAAGCUCUGUUGUAAGAGAAGAACGAGUGUGAGAGUGGAAAGCUCACACUGUGACGGUAGCUUACCAGAAAGGGACGGCUAACUACGUG
rnacentral:rRNA from 1 species